AACGAACGCUGGCGGCAUGCCUAACACAUGCAAGUCGAACGAAGCCUUCGGGCUUAGUGGCGCACGGGUGCGUAACGCGUGGGAAUCUGCCCUCAGGUACGGAAUAACUCAGGGAAACUUGAGCUAAUACCGUAUAAUGACUUCGGUCCAAAGAUUUAUCGCCUGAGGAUGAGCCCGCGUCGGAUUAGCUAGUUGGUGAGGUAAAGGCUCACCAAGGCGACGAUCCGUAGCUAGUCUGAGAGGAUGAUCAGCCACACUGGGACUGAGACACGGCCCAGACUCCUACGGGAGGCAGCAGUGGGGAAUAUUGGACAAUGGGCGCAAGCCUGAUCCAGCAAUGCCGCGUGAGUGAUGAAGGCCUUAGGGUUGUAAGGCUCUUUUACCCGGGAAGAUAAUGACUGUACCGGGAGAAUAAGCCCCGGCUAACUCCGUGCCAGCAGCCGCGGUAA
rnacentral:rRNA from 1 species